rnacentral:misc_RNA from 1 species
GAAAACAUUUAAUGUCUCCUAUUGUUAUUGUUAAAGUCAUGUUGUUCAAAAUCCAUAUAUACCGAUUUUGACCUCCUUUAUUUCCUACUCCACAGUUCAAAAUGCAUAUAUUUUUUUUUAAUAACGAUUCUGAAACUUCCGCGCAUCUUCUUAGUCUUGAAUGGCUAGAGAGAAAAGAUUGCUUUUGGAAAAGGCUUCUGGAACAGAUUAGUGG